rnacentral:lncRNA from 1 species
CGUGCAAGUUUGGGGCCACGGCAGAAGUGCUUAUGGUGCAACCUGUCAGAUUCCAAUGAAUCUGUGAAUUCUGUU